rnacentral:tRNA from 1 species
GCCCUCGUAGCCCAACGGUAGAGGCACGGUCGUGAGGCGGCCGUCAGCGCACGUUCGAAUCGUGUCGGGGGCACCA